UUUCGAAGGUCCCAGCAGGAAGUAACGAGACCUCUCUAACACUAAUAAUCUAUACCUUCGUAGAGUUAUUAUUAUUAUCAGCCGAACUGAAAGACACUCCAAAAUAUUAAUAUUGGCAGUGUUUAGAAACCUCGGCUACAUCUAA